rnacentral:rRNA from 1 species
AAAGUGACAUGCCAGGUGCAAGCCGGAGGAAGGUGGGRRUGGACGUCAAAUCAUCAUGCCCUAUCGACCUGGGCUACACACGUGCUACAAUGGAUGGUACAAGGCAGGCGAAGCCGUGAGGUGAAGCCAAUCCCAUAAAACCAUUCUCAGUUCGGAUUGUAGGCUGCAACUCGCCUACAUGAAGCCGGAAUCGCUAGUAAUCGCGGAUCAGCAUGCCGCGGUGAAUACGUUCCCGGGCCUUGUACACACCGCCCGUCACACCACGAGAGUUUGUAACACCCGAAGUCGGUAGGGUAACGCUUAGGCGAGCCAGCCGCCGAAGGUGGGACAGAUAAUUGGGGUGAAGUCGUAACAAGGUAGCCGUAUCGGAAGGUGCGGCUGGAUCACCUCCUUUCUAAGGA